rnacentral:rRNA from 1 species
UGCAGAGGUGUCAAGCGUUGCUCGGUGUCACUGGGCUUAAAGGGCGCGUAGGCUGUGCAGUACGGCUCGGGUGAAAUCCCUCGGCCCAACCGAGGAACUGCCCGGGCGACGGCUGCGCUAGACUGCAUCAGGGGCGGAUGGAACUCCCGGUGGAGCGGUGAAAUGCGUAGAUAUCGGGAGGAACGCCGGUGGCGAAAGCGAUCCGCUGGGGUGCAUGUGACGCUGAGGCGCGAAAGCCAGGGGAGCAAACGGG